ensembl:lncRNA
CAUUUCCCCUGCCGCAGUACAUCCUUUUUUCAAAUCACAUUUUUUCAUAGGAUCCUUUUGAUUUUGCUGUAGCUUUUGAUGAGGUUGAAAAACAUCACCUGACUGCUUGUUUCAUCAAAAUUGGGUAGCUUUUCUCAUUAGUGUCAAAUAAAUUGGUUCACUAAAUGAAUAAGCAGCAUUAAAAUUCUGUGAAUCUGCUGAGAUCUGAGGUGGACUACGUGCUCCUAAGACUCACAGUCCAUGACAGGCUUCAUCUCAUCAAAAUGAAUGGUGUCUCUUUAUGGCCUGGCAUGUACCGGCAGAAGGUUCUAAGUUACACCAAUGGGACAUUUAAACCUGCCCUAAAAUGCGUUUCAGGUAGGAACAGAAUGACUGUGGAGCAGCCUGCAAUGCCCAUUUGUCGAUUUCCUUGCACUGCACAUGAUCAAUCUGCAUUGCCAUGGGUAAUUUUUGCUGCAAAAGGUGCCUUGUACCAGCUUGUUGAAGCACCAUGGGAAGACACACAGACCACUUGUUUACUCUCUCCAUUUCUAGGAGGUUGGAAGAACCAAACCAUGCUAGAAACAGAACCGCUGCAAGCCAGGCAGCUGAACAGUCAGAGCUUAUGGGGGAAUCCUAGGAGGACUAUUGGAUUGAGAUUUGAGGGCUCAUCAGAGCAGAACAUUGGAUGCAGAGUUCAAAGUGCCCUUGUGUGGGUCCAUUCAGAAGCCACUCAGCAGACCACAGGCGCAUACCUUGUGAGUACUUGGUCUCCUGGAGGUCACACUGCCCCUGGAUGUUUGCUACUAGCUGCUGUGCAGCAGCACUGCCAGAUGUG